AAUCAACGCUGGCGGCGUGCCUAACACAUGCAAGUCGAGCGGGAAAGGGGGCUUCGGCCCCUGAGUAUAGCGGCGGACGGGUGAGUAACACGUGGGUAAUUUGCCCUUGGGUGUGGAAUAACUCAGGGAAACUUGAGCUAAUACCGCAUGACAUCCCCUUCACACACGAGUCGGGGAUCAAAGCCGGGGACCCUUCGGGGCCUGGCGCCUGAGGAGAAGCCCGCGCCCGAUUAGCUAGUUGGGAGGUAAUGGCUCACCAAGGCUUCGAUCGGUAGCCGGCCUGAGAGGGCGGACGGCCACACUGGGACUGAGACACGGCCCAGACUCCUACGGGAGGCAGCAGUGGGGAAUUUUGUCAAUGGGGGAAACCCUGAACAAGCAACGCCGCGUGGAGGACGACGACCUGGU
rnacentral:rRNA from 1 species